GUACGGGAGGCAGCGGUGAGGAAUUUUGGACAAUGGGCGAAAGCCUGAUCCAGCCAUGCCGCGUGCAGGAAGAAGGCCUUCGGGUUGUAAACUGCUUUAGUCUAGGAAAAAGGGGUGCGAGGUUAAUACCCUCGUGCUUUGAUGGUACUGGAAGAAUAAGCACCGGCUAACUACGUGCCAGCAGCCGCGGUAAUACGUAGGGUGCGAGCGUUAAUCGGAAUUACUGGGCGUAAAGCGUGCGCAGGCGGUCUUGUAAGACAGUCGUGAAAUCCCUGGGCUUAACCUAGGAACUGCGAUUGUGACUGCAAGGCUAGAGUGUGUCAGAGGGAGGUGGAAUUCCACGUGUAGCAGUGAAAUGCGUAGAGAUGUGGAGGAACACCGAUGGCGAAGGCAGCCCCCUGGGAUAACACUGACGCUCAUGCACGAAAGCGUGGGGAGCAAACAGGAUUAGAUACCCGGGUAGUCG
rnacentral:rRNA from 1 species